rnacentral:rRNA from 1 species
GAACGCUGGCGGCGUGCUUAACACAUGCAAGUCGAGCGGAAAGGCCCUUCGGGGUACUCGAGCGGCGAACGGGUGAGUAACACGUGAGCAACCUGCCCUAGGCUUUGGGAUAACCCCGGGAAACCGGGGCUAAUACCGAAUAGGACUUCCGGCCGCAUGGCUGGGGGUGGAAAGUUUUUCGGCCUGGGAUGGGCUCGCGGCCUAUCAGCUUGUUGGUGGGGUGAUGGCCUACCAAGGCGACGACGGGUAGCCGGCCUGAGAGGGCGACCGGCCACACUGGGACUGAGACACGGCCCAGACUCCUACGGGAGGCAGCAGUGGGGAAUAUUGCACAAUGGGCGGAAGCCUGAUGCAGCGACGCCGCGUGAGGGAUGACGGCCUUCGGGUUGUAAACCUCUUUCAGCAGGGACGAAGCGUGAGUGACGGUACCUGCAGAAGAAGCGCCGGCCAACUACGUGCCAGCAGCCGCGGUAAGACGUAGGGCGCGAGCGUUGUCCGGAUUUAUUGGGCGUAAAGAGCUCGUAGGCGGC